GACGUAGGGCGCGAGCGUUGUCCGGAUUUAUUGGGCGUAAAGAGCUCGUAGGCGGUUUGUCGCGUCGUUCGUGAAAACUCACAGCUUAACUGUGAGCUUGCGGUCGAUACGGGCAGGCUAGAGUUCGGUAGGGGAGACUGGAAUUCCUGGUGUAGCGGUGAAAUGCGCAGAUAUCAGGAGGAACACCGGUGGCGAAGGCGGAUCUCUGGGCCUUACCUGACGCUGAGGCGCGAAAGCUAGGGGAGCGAACAGG
rnacentral:rRNA from 1 species